rnacentral:rRNA from 1 species
AGAGUUUGAUCCUGGCUCAGGACGAACGCUGGCGGCGUGCUUAACACAUGCAAGUCGAACGGUGAUCCCCAGCUUGCUGGGGUGAUCAGUGGCGAACGGGUGAGUAACACGUGAGCAACCUGCCCCCGACUCUGGGAUAACUCCGGGAAACCGGGGCUAAUACCGGAUAUGACAUCGCCUCGCAUGGGGUGGUGUGGAAAGUUCUUCGGUCGGGGAUGGGCUCGCGGCCUAUCAGCUUGUUGGUGGGGUGAUGGCCUACCAAGGCGACGACGGGUAGCCGGCCUGAGAGGGCGACCGGCCACACUGGGACUGAGACACGGCCCAGACUCCUACGGGAGGCAGCAGUGGGGAAUAUUGCGCAAUGGGCGAAAGCCUGACGCAGCGACGCCGCGUGAGGGAUGAAGGCCUUCGGGUUGUAAACCUCUUUCAGCAGGGAAGAAGCGAAAGUGACGGUACCUGCAGAAGAAGCACCGGCUAACUACGUGCCAGCAGCCGCGGUAAUACGUAGGGUGCAAGCGUUGUCCGGAAUUAUUGGGCGUAAAGAGCUCGUAGGCGGUUUGUCGCGUCUGCUGUGAAAACGCGGGGCUCAACUCCGCGCCUGCAGUGGGUACGGGCAGACUAGAGUGCAGUAGGGGAGACUGGAAUUCCUGGUGUAGCGGUGGAAUGCGCAGAUAUCAGGAGGAACACCGGUGGCGAAGGCGGGUCUCUGGGCUGUAACUGACGCUGAGGAGCGAAAGCGUGGGGAGCGAACAGGAUUAGAUACCCUAGUAGUCC